rnacentral:tRNA from 1 species
GCCGACGUAGCUCAGUGGUAGAGCACUUCACUCAUAAAGAAGCGGUCGCAGGUUCAAUCCCUGCCGUCGGCACCA